GAUUCGUCACACUAUCAUUAACUGAAUCCAUAGGUUAAUGAGGCGAACCGGGGGAACUGAAACAUCUAAGUACCCCGAGGAAAAGAAAUCAACCGAGAUUCCCCCAGUAGCGGCGAGCGAACGGGGAGGAGCCCAGAGCCUGAAUCAGCAUGUGUGUUAGUGGAAGCGUCUGGAAAGGCGCGCGAUACAGGGUGACAGCCCCGUACACAAAAGCGCAUGUGCUGUGAGCUCGAUGAGUAGGGCGGGACACGUGGUAUCCUGUCUGAAUAUGGGGGGACCAUCCUCCAAGGCUAAAUACUCCUGACUGACCGAUAGUGAACCAGUACCGUGAGGGAAAGGCGAAAAGAACCCCGGCGAGGGGAGUGAAAAAGAACCUGAAACCGUGUACGUACAAGCAGUGGGAGCACCCUUCGGGGUGUGACUGCGUACCUUUUGUAUAAUGGGUCAGCGACUUAUAUUCUGUAGCAAGGUUAACCGUAUAGGGGAGCCGGAGGGAAACCGAGUCUUAACCGGGCGUUAAGUUGCAGGGUAUAGACCCGAAACCCGGUGAUCUAGCCAUGGGCAGGUUGAAGGUUGGGUAACACUAACUGGAGGACCGAACCGACUAAUGUUGAAAAAUUAGCGGAUGACCUGUGGCUGGGGGUGAAAGGCCAAUCAAACCGGGAGAUAGCUGGUUCUCCCCGAAAGCUAUUUAGGUAGCGCCUCGUGAAUUCAUCUCCGGGGGUAGAGCACUGUUUCGGCUAGGGGGCCAUCCCGGCUUACCAACCCGAUGCAAACUGCGAAUACCGGAGAAUGUUAUCACGGGAGACACACGGCGGGUGCUAACGUCCGUCGUGAAGAGGGAAACAACCCAGACCGCCAGCUAAGGUCCCAAAGUCAUGGUUAAGUGGGAAACGAUGUGGGAAGGCCCAGACAGCCAGGAUGUUGGCUUAGAAGCAGCCAUCAUUUAAAGAAAGCGUAAUAGCUCACUGGUCGAGUCGGCCUGCGCGGAAGAUGUAACGGGGCUAAACCAUGCACCGAAGCUGCGGCAGCGAACGUAUCACCCAAGACAACUUUACGGAGUUGACGAUUGACGGAGCGAAGCGACGUCAAAGCGUUCAUUAAAGUCGAGUUGGCUUAGGGAUACGUUCGUUGGGUAGGGGAGCGUUCUGUAAGCCUGUGAAGGUGUGUCGUGAGGCAUGCUGGAGGUAUCAGAAGUGCGAAUGCUGACAUAAGUAACGAUAAAGCGGGUGAAAAGCCCGCUCGCCGGAAGACCAAGGGUUCCUGUCCAACGUUAAUCGGGGCAGGGUGAGUCGACCCCUAAGGCGAGGCCGAAAGGCGUAGUCGAUGGGAAACGGGUUAAUAUUCCCGUACUUGGUGUUACUGCGAAGGGGGGACGGAGAAGGCUAUGUUGGCCGGGCGACGGUUGUCCCGGUUUAAGCGUGUAGGUGUGUGUUCCAGGUAAAUCCGGUUCACUUUAACACUGAGGCGUGACGACGAGGCACUACGGUGCUGAAGCAACAAAUGCCCUGCUUCCAGGAAAAGCCUCUAAGCAUCAGGUAACAUCAAAUCGUACCCCAAACCGACACAGGUGGUCAGGUAGAGAAUACCAAGGCGCUUGAGAGAACUCGGGUGAAGGAACUAGGCAAAAUGGUGCCGUAACUUCGGGAGAAGGCACGCUGACACGUAGGUGAAGUGAUUUACUCAUGGAGCUGAAGUCAGUCGAAGAUACCAGCUGGCUGCAACUGUUUAUUAAAAACACAGCACUGUGCAAACACGAAAGUGGACGUAUACGGUGUGACGCCUGCCCGGUGCCGGAAGGUUAAUUGAUGGGGUCAGCGCAAGCGAAGCUCCUGAUCGAAGCCCCGGUAAACGGCGGCCGUAACUAUAACGGUCCUAAGGUAGCGAAAUUCCUUGUCGGGUAAGUUCCGACCUGCACGAAUGGCGUAAUGAUGGCCAGGCUGUCUCCACCCGAGACUCAGUGAAAUUGAACUCGCUGUGAAGAUGCAGUGUACCCGCGGCAAGACGGAAAGACCCCGUGAACCUUUACUAUAGCUUGACACUGAACAUUGAGCCUUGAUGUGUAGGAUAGGUGGGAGGCUUUGAAGUGUGGACGCCAGUCUGCAUGGAGCCGACCUUGAAAUACCACCCUUUAAUGUUUGAUGUUCUAACGUGGACCCGUAAUCCGGGUUGCGGACAGUGUCUGGUGGGUAGUUUGACUGGGGCGGUCUCCUCCUAAAGAGUAACGGAGGAGCACGAAGGUUGGCUAAUCCUGGUCGGACAUCAGGAGGUUAGUGCAAUGGCAUAAGCCAGCUUGACUGCGAGCGUGACGGCGCGAGCAGGUGCGAAAGCAGGUCAUAGUGAUCCGGUGGUUCUGAAUGGAAGGGCCAUCGCUCAACGGAUAAAAGGUACUCCGGGGAUAACAGGCUGAUACCGCCCAAGAGUUCAUAUCGACGGCGGUGUUUGGCACCUCGAUGUCGGCUCAUCACAUCCUGGGGCUGAAGUAGGUCCCAAGGGUAUGGCUGUUCGCCAUUUAAAGUGGUACGCGAGCUGGGUUUAGAACGUCGUGAGACAGUUCGGUCCCUAUCUGCCGUGGGCGCUGGAGAACUGAGGGGGGCUGCUCCUAGUACGAGAGGACCGGAGUGGACGCAUCACUGGUGUUCGGGUUGUCAUGCCAAUGGCACUGCCCGGUAGCUAAAUGCGGAAGAGAUAAGUGCUGAAAGCAUCUAAGCACGAAACUUGCCCCGAGAUGAGUUCUCCCUGAGACUUAGAGUCUCCUGAAGGAACGUUGAAGACGACGACGUUGAUAGGCCGGGUGUGUAAGCGCAGCGAUGCGUUGAGCUAACCGGUACUAAUGAACCGUGAGGCUUAACCUUACA
rnacentral:rRNA from 3 species